rnacentral:lncRNA from 1 species
GAAGAAUUCAAGCAAAGGGAUCAGGAAGAGGAUUGCUACUAAGAGGCAGAGAAACCAAUGAAGCCUUUUGCCAUCUCACACUGGAAAGACAAAAAGUCAUAGAGGCUUGAUUUUUAUAAGGAAAGAGAAGUGAGAAACUGACCUCGAUACUUUGUUGGACUUGCCUAAAGACAUUUGCUGAAUUCUCGGGCUGUGCUGGGAUGGAGAUUAGAGGCCAAAUAAAAACCUCUGGAGCUCCCAGGCCUCUACAGUUUGC